ACUUAAAUAGCUUAUCUUAGAGCGUGAUAUUGAAGAUAUCAAGGUGACAGUUAUAUCUUUAAGUA
rnacentral:tRNA from 1 species